AAUCACGAGCUCCGACGUCAAACCCUGGUUGGUCGGACGGCAACCCUCUCGCUGUAGCGGGGUGCCCCAGGUGAUGAUUCGGCCACGCACCGACGGUGCGGGCAAGUACGGCGC
rnacentral:ncRNA from 2 species